AAUAGGAGCCCCGAGGCCCUGGCCCACUGGGCUUUGCAAGAGUGGGCUGCCAGCAUGGGCAUUGUCGUCAGCCCGAACAGCCGUGGGGAGGCGGCUUUCCGAUGGGCAGAGGCCGUCGAGGUGCUUGAUACCUCGAGCAGCGAACUUAGGGAAGAAGGUGCGUCUCUAGAGAAUGGAGUUGUAUCUGCACACGUGGUGAGCACCCAACACAGCCUACAGAGCUCACAGUCAGAGCAAGCAGUAUAUUAUCGUGCCACGUUGGCUGGCCCUGUGGACAACACAAUAGAGAUUUCCUGAGCUCCUAGCCAGGACCCUUGCCCACAUCAUGAGAGGCCCUACUGCUGGGCCCAUGCCAUUGAGGCAGCUGAGCCCUGCAGCCCUAAGGCAGAUAAGGAGGCAAAGCAGGAAGGUGACACCUCGAGCGAAGCACUGCUUGAUGAGGAGGCGGUUGUGGAGGAGGGGGAAGUAUCUGGAGAUUGUAGUGAUGUCCAAAAUGGAGCAUCCCAGAAGACUGCCUUGAAUAAAUCCACUAUGUCCUCCUGUGAUAUCUCUGUGAAGGGGCCUAAGUGGUGCGCACUUCGUGAAGCUUGUUACCAGGAUAUUGAUCGCCCAUGUGCAUGGCCCACGAUCCUAAAUGCACAUCAAUACUUCUUUUCUGAUGCGCUUCUUGGAAGUUUUGUCGUGAGAAACCGUUGCCCUAGCUUCAUAGGAAGUGUAACUUCCUACCGGCUUUCGAAGUGUUCCCUUCACAAUACGCCAUCAUGUGGCAGCGUCCACCCUCAGAGUGAUUCUAUUGAGAAGCCACCCACUCAGACAUGUGGUAGCAGAGGGUGGCUCUUAUCAUCCACCAGAAUUUUAUGUAAAGUGCUAUCGAUCGUUUAUGAAGGUCCCCAGAACCAGAUAUGGUGAAAACCCAAUAUAUACUGGAAAACCCAAUAUUUUAAUAAAUUGAAUCUCAUCAAAUAUAUAGAUG